UACGGAGGGUGCAAACGUUGCUCGGAAUCAUUGGGCGUAAAGCGCACGUAGGCGGCCUGACAAGUCGGGUGUGAAAGCCCUGGGCUCAACCCAGGAAGUGCACUCGAAACUGCCAGGCUUGAAUAUGGAAGAGGGUCGCGGAAUUCCCGGUGUAGAGGUGAAAUUCGUAGAUAUCGGGAGGAACACCAGUGGCGAAGGCGGCGACCUGGGCCAAUAUUGACGCUGAGGUGCGAAAGGCGUGGGGAGCAAACAGG
rnacentral:rRNA from 1 species